rnacentral:rRNA from 1 species
UAAGGAAUAUUGGACAAUGGAGGCAACUCUGAUCCAGCCAUCCCGCGUGCAGGAUGACGGCCCUAUGGGUUGUAAACUGCUUUUAGAUAGGACGAACCGCAUUCUUUUAAGAGUGUCUGACGGUACUAUCAGAAUAAGCACCGGCUAAUUCCGUGCCAGCAGCCGCGGUAAUACGGAAGGUGCAAGCGUUAUCCGGAAUCACUGGGUUUAAAGGGUGCGUAGGCGGGCUAAUAAGUCAGAGGUGAAAGGUUACCGCUUAACGGUAGAACUGCCUUUGAUACUGUUAGUCUUGAAUUAGGCUGAGGUCAGCGGAAUGUGACAUGUAGCGGUGAAAUGCAUAGAUAUGUCAUAGAACACCAAUUGCGAAGGCAGCUGGCUAGACCUAUAUUGACGCUGAGGCACGAAAGCGUGGGGAGCGAACAGGAUUAGAUACCCCCGUAGUCC